GACAGAGGUGGCGAGCGUUGUUCGGAUUUACUGGGCGUAAAGCGUGGGUAGGCGGUUCGGUCAGUCAGAUGUGAAAUCCCACCGCUCAACGGUGGAACGGCGUCUGAUACUGCCGAACUUGAGUGCAGGAGAGGAGGGUGGAAUUUCCGGUGUAGCGGUGAAAUGCGUAGAGAUCGGAAGGAACACCAGUGGCGAAGGCGGCCCUCUGGGCUAACACUGACGCUCAUGCACGAAAGCGUGGGGAGCAAACAGGAUUGAAACCCGGGUAGU
rnacentral:rRNA from 1 species